UCAGGUAGGGAUACCCGCUGAACUUAAGCAUAUCAAUAAG
rnacentral:rRNA from 2 species